CGGCCACAUUGGGACUGAGAUACGGCCCAGACUCCUACGGGAGGCAGCAGUGGGGAAUAUUGGGCAAUGGGGGAAACCCUGACCCAGCAACGCCGCGUGAAGGAAGAAGGUUUUCGGAUCGUAAACUUCUAUCCUUGGUGAAAAUAAUGAUGGUAGCCAAGAAGGAAGCCCCGGCUAACUACGUGCCAGCAGCCGCGGUAAUACGUAGGGGGCAAGCGUUGUCCGGAAUGAUUGGGCGUAAAGGGCGCGUAGGCGGCCUGGUAAGUUUGAAGUGAAAGUCCUUCUUUUAAGGAGGGAACUGCUUUGAAAACUGUCGGGCUUGAGUGCAGGAGAGGUAAGCGGAAUUCCCGGUGUAGCGGUGAAAUGCGUAGAGAUCGGGAGGAACACCAGUGGCGAAGGCGGCUUACUGGACUGUUACUGACGCUGAGGCGCGAAAGUGUGGGGAGCAAACAGGAUUAGAUACCCUGGUAGUCCACACUGUAAACGAUGAAUGCUAGGUGUAGGGGGUAUCGACCCCUUCUGUGCCGGAGUAAACACAAUAAGCAUUCCGCCUGGGGAGUACGGCCGCAAGGUUGAAACUCAAAGGAAUUGACGGGGGCCCGCACAAGCAGUGGAGUAUGUGGUUUAAUUCGAAGCAACGCGAAGAACCUUACCAGGUCUUGACAUCCCGUGCAUAGCUAAGAGAUUAGUGAAGUCCUUCGGGACACGGAGACAGGUGGUGCAUGGUUGUCGUCAGCUCGUGUCGUGAGAUGUUGGGUUAAGUCCCGCAACGAGCGCAACCCUUGCUGUUAGUUGCUACGCAAGAGCACUCUAACAGGACUGCCGUUGACAAAACGGAGGAAGGUGGGGACGACGUCAAAUCAUCAUGCCCCUUAUGACCUGGGCUACACACGUACUACAAUGGCCGUCAACAGAGGGAAGCAAGACCGUGAGGUGGAGCAAACCCCCAAAAACGGCCCCAGUUCGGAUUGUAGGCUGCAACCCGCCUACAUGAAGUCGGAAUUGCUAGUAAUCGCGGAUCAGCAUGCCGCGGUGAAUACGUUCCCGGGCCUUGUACACACCGCCCGUCACACCAUGGGAGUUGAUAGCACCCGAAGUCGGUGAGGUAACCGCAAGGAGCCAGCCGCCGAAGGUGAGAUCAAUGACUGGGGUGAAGUCGUAACAAGGUAGCCGUAUCGGAAGGUGCGGCUG
rnacentral:rRNA from 1 species